AGACGAGGAAGGAAAAGAAGGAAAAGAAGACGGGUUGUUUAAAAGAAGAAAAGGACUGAGAGGAACGCGUUUUCAUCGUAAAAGUCGUAAAAGUCGUAAAAGUUCCUUCUUCUUUGUCUUCUUCUUCUUCUUCUUCCUCGCUUCUUCUUC
rnacentral:ribozyme from 14 species